GUUGCUGCAAGCGGAGGAGGAAUUGCCUCUGCAGCCAAUUUUUUGAAGAGAUUCCCAAAUGAAGAGCUAACGAAACAAAACAAAGUUUAAAAGGACAAUAGAAUCAAAAAGGAAAAGGAAAAGAAAAAGAAGAGAUCUAUUAAACAAAAGCAAAACACAUUUUCGUUGCAUCGACAUGAACAAUCAGAUCUAUCUGUUUCUAACAUAAAGAAGACCCAAGAUUCAUCUAACACAGCGAGAAACGAAACGAAACAAGCCAAAGAUCGAUCGAGAAAAGCGAAAGAACCAAGGGAGGGAAAAACGAAAAAGCAACCCAAGAAAAAUCGAUAGGAAGAAGCAAAGGAAACCCACCUUCUCAUUAGGGUAGGAAAGAAACGAUCCAAGCAUCCGAAGGCGAUACAACCUUCUCUUAAGGCUAGGAGAGCCCAACCGAAGCAAGAAACCCGAGAAAAUCGACCGAAAGAAGAAAAAGAACCCUCCCUUAUCUUUAGGGUAGGUCAGAAAGGAAACAAGCAUCGGAAUGCAAUAGAACCCCAACUUGAGGCUCGGAGAGCGAAAACCGAAGCAAGAAACCUUGAAAUGAUCGAUCAAGAAAAGCAAUAGAACCGCCUACCUUCCCCGCUCCGCUCGUUCCAUGAUUCGUUUGAGGACGACAAAGAACACAAAAUGACACAAGAAACGCAACAGAGGUCGAUCGGGAGAAGCGAUAAAACACAAAUUCUCUUACCUUCUCCGAUCUCCUCGCUUUACAACGCCUUCCGGCACCUUCUCUCGCAAGAUCUUUCACGGAGACAGAACCCUAAUCGAAGCUCUCCUCCCUUGCCUCCUCUCAGAAUCGCAUAGGCUGCUUUGGCUUUGGGGAAGAAUUGAUCGCGGCUUCCUGCUUCUUGUUCGUUCGACCACUUCUUGUACGAGAGUCAAAAGUUCUCAAAGCUCCGAGGCAAAAAG
rnacentral:lncRNA from 1 species